AUCCAGCCGAAUCCCAAAUAGGUCGAAACGCGCGUCCUGGAU
rfam:Schistosoma curassoni strain Dakar, Senegal genome assembly, scaffold: SCTD_scaffold0013714